CUGAAUAUGAUCGAGCACAGAGCGGGCAGAAUUGAGCGAAAUUCCGCGCUCGGCGGAAGGGCCGCCGCAGAUGAGUCCGACUCUCAAAACCCUCCUACCUUCAUCACCGGCGGUGCGAUCACGGGCCACCUCCGGCUCCGCCGUUGUGGCAGAAGCUUUCACCACCCCGACGCCGCAAAAACGGCGUUCGCAGUUCAAACUCCGUUUCGAGGAGGAGGCGGUGGGGUUUGACGGAAAAUUCAGAAACCCGUGACGGCGAGUAGAGAAGGGAGGCAGCGAGCCCUUGUUAUUGCGGAAGAGGGUUGGGUUCAAA
rnacentral:lncRNA from 1 species